UACGUAGGGACCAAGCGUUGUUCGGAUUUACUGGGCGUAAAGGGCGCGUAGGCGGCAAUUCAAGUCAGCUGUGAAAUCUCUGGGCUUAACCCAGAACGGCCAGCUGAUACUGCUUUGCUAGAGUGCAGAAGGGGCAAUCGGAAUUCUUGGUGUGGCGGUGAAAUGCGUAGAUAUCAAGAGGAACACCUGAGGUGAAGACGGGUUGCUGGGCUGACACUGACGCUGAGGCGCGAAAGCCAGGGGAGCAAACGGG
rnacentral:rRNA from 1 species